rnacentral:rRNA from 1 species
GGGAGGUAGUGACAAUAAAUAACAAUACGGGGUUCUUUCGGAUUUCGUAAUUGGAAUGAGUACAAUUUAAAUCUCUUAACGAGGAACAAUUGGAGGGCAAGUCUGGUGCCAGCAGCCGCGGUAAUUCCAGCUCCAAUAGCGUAUAUUAAAGUUGUUGCAGUUAAAAAGCUCGUAGUUGAAUUUCGGGAUUCGUCCAUUGGUCAGGCUUAACUGUCUGUACUGGUGUGUCGGAUUUCUACCUUCUGAAGAACCUUUAUGCCAUUAAUUUGGUGUGUUGGGGAAUCAGGACUGUUACUUUGAAAAAUUA